UUUGCUUAAAAUAAAAGGUCCAGCCUGCCCAGUGACACUGUUCAACGGCCGCGGUAUCCUAACCGUGCGAAGGUAGCGUAAUCACUUGUUCUUUAAAUGAGGACUAGUAUGAAAGGCACCACGAGAGUCAUACUGUCUCCUCUUUCCAAUCAGUUAAACUAAUCUCCCCGUGAAGAAGCGGGGAUAACUUUAUAAGACGAGAAGACCCUAUGGAGCUUUAAACGAAUAACACUUGCCCACCUCUCCUUUUAAUUUCAGAAAAAUCUAUUACCUUGGCAUCAUACUUAUAAGUUUUUGAUUGGGGUGAUCACGGAACAAAAAAUAACCUCCGCAAUGAAAGACUCUCAUAACUAAGUCAAGAACCACAACUCUACACAUCAACAAAUUGACACCAAUUGACCCAAUUUAUUGAUCAAUGGAC
rnacentral:rRNA from 1 species